rnacentral:rRNA from 1 species
UAUCAAUAAGCGGAGGAAAAGAAACUAACAAGGAUUCCCCUAGUAACUGCGAGUGAAGCGGGAAAAGCUCAAAUUUAAAAUCUGGCGGUCUUUGGCCGUCCGAGUUGUAGUCUGGAGAAGCGUCUUCCGCGUUGGACCGUGUACAAGUCUCUUGGAACAGAGCGUCAUAGAGGGUGAGAAUCCCGUCUUUGACACGGACUACCAAUGCUUUGUGAUGCGCUCUCAAAGAGUCGCGUUGUUUGGGAAUGCAGCGCAAAAUGGGAGGUGAAUUCCUUCUAAAGCUAAAUAUUGGCGAGAGACCGAUAGCGAACAAGUACCGUGAGGGAAAGAUGAAAAGCACUUUGGAAAGAGAGUUAAACAGUACGUGAAAUUGCUGAAAGGGAAACGCUUGAAGUCAGUCGCGUCGUCCGGAACUCAGCCUUGCUUCGGCUUGGUGCACUUUCCGGUUGACGGGCCAGCAUCGAUUUUGACCGCUGGAAAAGGGCUGGAGGAAUGUGGCACCUUCGGGUGUGUUAUAGCCUUCAGUCGCAUACAGCGGUUGGGAUCGAGGAACGCAGCACGCCUUAUGGCUGGGGUUCGCCCACAUUCGUGCUUAGGAUGCUGGCAUAAUGGCUUUAAACGACCCGUCUUGAAACACGGACCAAGGAGUCUAACAUGCCUGCGAGUGUUUGGGUGGAAAACCCGAGCGCGUAAUGAAAGUGAAAGUUGAGACCUCUGUCGUGGAGGGCAUCGACGCCCGGACCUGAAGUUUUCUGACGGAUCCGCGGUAGAGCAUGUAUGUUGGGACCCGAAAGAUGGUGAACUAUGCCUGAAUAGGGUGAAGCCAGAGGAAACUCUGGUGGAGGCUCGUAGCGAUUCUGACGUGCAAAUCGAUCGUCAAAUUUGGGUAUAGGGGCGAAAGACUAAUCGAACCAUCUAGUAGCUGGUUCCU